CACGUAGGGACCGAGCGUUGUCCGGAUUCAUUGGGCGUAAAGAGCUCGUAGGCGGCUGUUCAAGUCGAACGUGAAAACUCGGAGCUCAACUCCGAGCCUGCGUUCGAUACUGGACGGCUAGAGUCUGGUAGGGGGAUCUGGAAUUCCUGGUGUAGCGGUGGAAUGCGCAGAUAUCAGGAGGAACACCGGUGGCGAAGGCGGCGACCUGGACGGACACUGACGCUGAGACGCGAAAGCGUGGGGAGCAAACAGG
rnacentral:rRNA from 1 species